rnacentral:rRNA from 1 species
UACGUAGGCGGCAAGCGUUGUUCGGAAUUACUGGGCGUAAAGCGUGCGCAGGCGGUGAUGUAAGACCGAUGUGAAAUCCCCGGGCUUAACCUGGGAACUGCAUUGGUGACUGCAUUGCUGGAGUAUGGCAGAGGGGGGUGGAAUUCCACGUGUAGCAGUGAAAUGCGUAGAGAUGUGGAGGAACACCGAUGGCGAAGGCAGCCCCCUGGGCCAAUACUGACGCUCAUGCACGAAAGCGUGGGGAGCAGACAGG